rnacentral:rRNA from 1 species
AGCACCCNCGGUAAUUCCAGCUCCAAUAGCGUAUAUUAAAGUUGUUGCAGUUAAAAAGCUCGUAGUUGAAUUUCGGAAUCUGUCCGUUGGUCGGGCUUCACUGUCCGUACUGGUGUGAUGGGUUCUUACCUUCUGAAUAACCAGCAUGCCAUUCAUUUGGUGCGCUGGGGAAGUAGGACUAUUACCUUGAAAAAAUUAGAGUGCUCAAAGCAGGCUAGUGCCUGAAUACAUUAGCAUGGAAUAAUAAAAUAGGACGGCAUGGUUCUAUUUUGUUGGUUUCUAGGAUCACCGUAAUGAUUAAUAGGGAUAGUUGGGGGCAUUAGUAUUCAAUUGUCAGAGGUGAAAUUCUUGGAUUUAUUGAAGACUAACUUCUGCGAAAGCAUUUGCCAAGGAUGUUUUCAUUAAUCAAGAACGAAAGUUAGGGGAUCGAAGACGAUCAGAUACCGUCGUAGUCUUAACCAUAAACUAUGCCGACUAGGGAUCGGACGAUGUUAAUUUUUUAAUGACUCG